GACGAACGCUGGCGGCGUGCUUAACACAUGCAAGUCGAACGGAAAGGCCCUGCUUUUGUGGGGUGCUCGAGUGGCGAACGGGUGAGUAGCACGUGAGUAACCUGCCCUUGACUUUGGGAUAACUUCAGGAAACUGGGGCUAAUACCGGAUAGGAGCUCCUGCUGCAUGGUGGGGGUUGGAAAGUUUCGGCGGUUGUGGAUGGACUCGCGGCUUAUCAGCUUGUUGGUGGGGUAGUGGCUUACCAAGGCUUUGACGGGUAGCCGGCCUGAGAGGGUGACCGGCCACAUUGGGACUGAGAUACGGCCCAGACUCCUACGGGAGGCAGCAGUGGGGAAUAUUGCACAAUGGGCGGAAGCCUGAUGCAGCAACGCCGCGUGCGGGAUGACGGCCUUCGGGUUGUAAACCGCUUUCGCCUGUGACGAAGCGUGAGUGACGGUAAUGGGUAAAGAAGCACCGGCUAACUACGUG
rnacentral:rRNA from 1 species